rnacentral:rRNA from 1 species
GUGUCAGCCGCCGCGGUAAUACGGAAGGUGCGAGCGUUAAUCGGAAUUACUGGGCGUAAAGCGCACGUAGGUGGUUUUAUAAGUCGGAUGUGAAAGCCCCGGGCUUAACCUGGGAAUUGCAUCUGAUACUGUCUGACUAGAGUAUGCUAGAGGGAAGUGGAAUUCCAGGUGUAGCGGUGAAAUGCGUAGAUAUCUGGAGGAACACCAAUGGCGAAGGCAACUUCCUGGGGCAAUACUGACACUGAUGUGCGAAAGCGUGGGGAGCAAACAGGAUUAGAUACCCGCGUAGUCC